rnacentral:rRNA from 1 species
AGCAGCCGCGGUAAUUCCAGCUCCAAUAGCGUAUAUUAAAGUUGUUGCAGUUAAAAAGCUCGUAGUUGAAUUUCGGGGUUCUACCGUUGGUCGGGCUUUGUCUGUACUGGCGUGUAGAAUUUCUACCUUCUGGGGAACCAUCAUGUUAUUAAUUUAACGUGGUGGGAAACCAGGACCUUUACCUUGAAAAAAUUAGAGUGUUCAAAGCAGGCUUAUGUCUGAAUACAUUAGCAUGGAAUAAUAGAAUAGGACGGUGGUCCUGUUUUGUUGGUUUCUGAAUCACCGUAAUGAUUAAUAGGGAUAGUUGGGGGCAUUAGUAUUCAAUUGUCAGAGGUGAAAUUCUUGGAUUUAUUGAAGACUAACUUCUGCGAAAGCAUUUGCCAAGGAUGUUUUCAUUAAUCAAGAACGAAAGUUAGGGGAUCGAAGACGAUCAGAUACCGUCGUAGUCUUAACCAUAAACUAUGCCGACUAGGGAUCGGACGAUGUUAACUUUUCUUGACUCGUUCGGCGCCUUACGGGA